CAGGUGAGGCUAAAACAACUGUCGCACCUUUUGUACAAGGUGGCGUUAGUGAUGGCCAGUGGCAUUCAGUUCAGCUUCACUAUUACAACAAGAGAAUUGGCGAGUGAGCAGAAUUCAAUCAGCGAGCGCAAGCACUGAACACUCUGGUGUUUUGACUGCUAAACACUUCAAAUUGGGCUGCAUCAGGUUGCACUGCACAGACGCAGGCGACGUCAAUUCCUCAAGCCCGACUUGCAGCAUUGAGUUUGAAUUUAGAAGAUGACAAUUCAACUCAAACAAAGUUAAGUCUGACACAGAGAAAAGGACCAAUGUGUGUACUUCUAACAUGUUUGGUUGGUAAAAUGUUGUAAAUUCAAAUCAGAGCAUCUUCCGUGUCUGGAAUGGAUGUAUUCUUGAGUCUAUAAGGUAACAAUAAUAUAAUAUGAUAACCUUGUUUGAAAUGAGUUUGGCUAAAUGAAAAUGUGGGUUUUGUCUAUACUACUAGGUAACUUACUUAUACUACAUUGACUGAGUUAAACAGAUUUGCAUUGCUAAAAAGAGACUAAAAUACAAUUUUCAUUGACUAAAACUAGACUAAAUGUCAUUAGUUUUUUUUUCAACUAAAACUAGACGAAAAUAAUCAUGGAUUAUUCUGACUAAAAUAAAAACUAAAAUGCUCCGGCUUUUAGUUGACUGAAACUUGACCAGACUAAAAAGAGUAUGAACGUGACUAAAACUAAUAAAAACUAAAAUGACAGCUUUACACAAAGACUACACUAAAACUAGAAUUAAAGAAGUUACCAAAAACAACAGUAUUUGACAACAAAGUUCAGUUUGUUUGGUUAGGGUUUAAACACCUGAAUCUCCCCAAAAAUGUAGCUUUAUUGUAAUGCAUAAUUGGUACGAAAACAAUAAAACAAUAAGGCAUAAUUAGCAUCUUAAGCAUAACUGUCACUAGAACUUGUUUUAACAUAAUUGCCAUUUCUGCCUUGAUGACUACUGACCACUGUUAUUUUAACUGAAAAGAAUGCAUCAAGCUCGUGAUCAUGAGUUUAUAAGUUGGAAAUAGGAAGUUUUCGAUAGUACGUGAAGACAGCAGAGAAGCGCUCUCGCUCAACACAGUGGAGUGAAUCAUUUUGCUAAUUUUGUGGUUUAUUAUUUUGAGUUGUAUGGGACUCGGUUACACACAUCCCUCUCACAGUAUAUUGCUUUACAGACUUACUGCUCAGAAAUACGAGUCUCUACCCACCUAUUAAGUGUUGUCCUGCAACGCACUCUGCUUUGAUGGAUCCCGCGGCCGUGCAGGUCUCUAAUAGGAAGGACAGCCUGCACCUGCUGGACUCCAGUGGGGUGCUGCGCGUCCAUCUCUAUACCGCCUGGCUGGAGCUCACUCAUAAGGAGGUACUGUAUCCAGUGACCUAAUGUAGCUCUGCGGUGGCGGUUCCUGCUAUCCUUCCAGCCUUAGGGUCCUGGCAUUUACAAAGCAUCUCAGAGUUUCCCGUGCUACUUUCGCAUCAGUUCUGCACUUGGUCAUAUAGAGACAAAGGGCAACAUUGGGAGGAGGCAAUCAAAUUCAAAAUCUUCUUCUGUAGUUUGAGAAGCUUUGUGAAUACAGACCCACAUCUUCUUCUCUGACUCCAGCAGUUUAUAUCUGUGUCCAAAGAGAUUCAUUAGUAGGGAUAUGAAUCUCAGGUAAAUUUACAGUCAGGCUCAGUUUCUACUUAGUGAGUUUGUCAGCACUUCCAUUAAGCA